rnacentral:rRNA from 1 species
UACAGAGGGGGCAAGCGUUGUUCGGAAUUACUGGGCGUAAAGGGUUUGUAGGUGGCCAACUAAGUCAGACGUGAAAUCCCUCAGCUUAACUGGGGAACUGCGUCUGAUACUGGUUGGCUUGAGUGCAGGAGAGGAAUGCGGAAUUCCAGGUGUAGCGGUGAAAUGCGUAGAUAUCUGGAGGAACACCGGUGGCGAAGGCGGCAUUCUGGACUGCAACUGACACUGAAGAACGAAAGCCAGGGGAGCAAACGGG